CAAGAACGGAUCUAACCUGUUGUGCAGCGUUAUUGUUAGAUAGCGUGGGGUAGAUUAGGGCUGUCGCCUUGGGUCAUGGUCAAAAGAGUGAUCGAGUGUUUUUAUGUAUUUUGUCUAGUACAAAAUUUAAAGAACGUUGGUAUUGUGCAGUUUGUUAGUAUAUGUUCGUUUUGUUUUGUGUACAUUUUGUGUACAUACGAGUCCAAAUAAUUUAGGGCAUAGGGCAAACAGGCUGAUACUAAGGGAAUAGUAUAGAAGACUCUGGAAAAUAGUCUACAGCAGCUUUUCUACUUUCUAGACACUGUCACCGCAUGAAUCACAUAGUUCAAGAAAAGACCAGGCACGUUGUAUAUAUAUACACAGUAAAUUGUUACUAUUAUCGCCAAGAACACAUGCGUGUUGUAAUUAUAACUGGUAUCCUCAUCUGAAGCCGCCAUGUUUGCUGUACUGUCUAGGUGUGUAGACACAAAGGAACAUCAUAAACACUUAAAUGAUGCAUGUUUAAACUUUUCCCCCAAAAAUUAAUCUAUCAACUAAUUUUAUAGAUGUAGGUCUUAAUUUUGAGUAGAUAUGAAAAUGAACUUGAGUUGAUAUCAAGUGGAGUUUCUAGAUCAGGGAAACGUGAUCUAGAUAGUGACUGAUAGUCAAACUUGGUGGCAUUUUCGUCUUCUUAGAAGUCAUUAGAAGUUUAAAAACUUGGCAGAAAACUUUCAUGAUUUCAUGUAAGUAGUCUCGGUAAUGACCUCAUCGGCGAACAAUGUGCAGAAAUGAUGUAGUGCACGGAGUCGACCAAUGAUAUGGACGAUCUUCUUAAGGGGAAUCACCUAUAUACAGAACUAGGCAUAAAAGACGCGCGAUUUUGCAAUACGACAUUUAACGAACUUCGCCUUUCAGACACUGAAAAACUUCUGAGACGUUUCAAACUUUUCAAUUCUACUGACAAAACAGCAUACACUUUAAAUCAUGGACGAAGAAAUCAGUCCUGAAAUGGGCAUUCUGAUAGGAGUUGUUGUUGUGGUCCUUGUCAUCUUUGUCGCUUACAAGGUCGCACAAGCUUGCAAGUCAUCAGGCAGUGGCGGCGGCGGUGGAGGCGGGAACUAUACGCGCGGAUCUAGCAGCCAGGGGUCCAAGUGUGUCAUCUUAUAAAGAUCCCCAUGAAACAUUGCUAUACAGAUAGCGGCUAUGGUGUGGAGGCAGUGCCGAGUGGUGUUCUACUUCAAUCACAACUUACGGGUGUGUGCUGGAAAUAAAACAGCUUGACUCGGGUAAAAUGGAGGACAAGCAACACAACAGAUCACACAUUCGUCAUGUCACCAACUUCAUCCACACGAACUGGAUAAACUACAGUAAUAAAUUGACUUCAAGGACACUACUGUCUUCAUUUAAGAUGUCUAUAGCUACACUCUAAUAGACAACAUUACAGAGCAUGAAUUUCAGACUCCUUGGGAUUAGUCUACAAGAUUUUAGUAAUAGCAUUGUUUACAUGUACAGUAAAUGAGUAAUAAUAUUCGUCUAUUCCCGAGUCUCCUGGCUGUUACUGUUUAUGUAGUGUUGGUGUUUUUGCUAUUUUAUGUCAGAUAUUCAAGUACACAUUUGCUAAUACUUACGCCAAUUAUACCUGGGCACAAUAUCAACAGCUUUCGCUGAACAGAAGAUCAUGUACAAUGACGACUUGCAACAAGUCAGAAAUCUUCAGCAUGGUCUACUUUUGCUAAUCUAUGCAUGGAAAUCACGAAAUGGUGAUUACUACAUAUAGUAUGGAUAUUUACCUUUUGUGAAACAUCGUUGUGAGAAAUAAUAUACAGUAAAUAGAUUUGAUCAUAUAUGGAGUGCUUGCUCUGUGAAUUUCAAUAAAAUCAUUUUUCAAACUCAA